rnacentral:snoRNA from 1 species
CUAGGAUGGAUACCCUCAGGAGGUCACUCUCCCUGGUUCUGUCCAAGAGAAAUAGGGGAGCACAGGGGUCUGCCCAUGUGCAUAAUUACUUUCCAUGAUUUUGGAGAAGUUGGCCUGGAGCCUGAACUUGCAUAU